UCUUAUUUAUUUGUUUGACUGGGCGAGAUGCCAAAUUUUUAUUUUACCACAAACUCGAAAAACACACAAUUAUUCAGACAAAGCACUGGAAAUUCUAAAGCAAAAUAGAGAGAUGGUAGCUCCAUGGUUUAACACAGCAAGUGUUAAACGGCAACAGUAUAAUAAGGGAAAGUAUACUUAGUUCAUUCAUUAGACAUUGAUCAACAAUUACGUGUAUAAUCGGAGCAUGGUGGUGGCGGUGGUGGUUCUGAUGAUGUUGGUGGCGUUGGUGGUGUUGAGGAUGGAAUGCAACUUGUAUAACUCUGACCCGUACAAUUAACAGCAGGAUUAUUAGGAUCUCCUGUCUGAAACGUACCUUCUGCAUAAGAGUGAAUGUCAUUACAUUAACUACAGUUAUCUUUUCUCAGAAAACAGUUGUCUCAAGUUAGAGAGUAUGAUUACCAUUGAGUUCUCGAGCCAUAAUUGAAGUAGGAAAGAAGAAAAGAGAAGCAAAGAAUAAGAAAGCAAUGAAAAUGGCCUUCAUGUUUGGGAAGUGUUUGAUAAUGCUUAGUAUAUGUUAUUCACUUUUCCCUUUGGAUUGGUGUGAAGAGUGUUGUCAUGUAUUUAUAGUCACAAUGCAGUGGAUACGAGAAGACUUGCAGAAAGACU
rnacentral:lncRNA from 1 species